rnacentral:rRNA from 1 species
GAUGAACGCUGGCGGCGUGCCUAAUACAUGCAAGUCGAGCGAACAGAUGAGGAGCUUGCUCCUCUGACGUUAGCGGCGGACGGGUGAGUAACACGUGGAUAACCUACCUAUAAGACUGGGAUAACUUCGGGAAACCGGAGCUAAUACCGGAUAAUAUAUUGAACCGCAUGGUUCAAUAGUGAAAGACGGUUUUGCUGUCACUUAUAGAUGGAUCCGCGCCGCAUUAGCUAGUUGGUAAGGUAACGGCUUACCAAGGCAACGAUGCGUAGCCGACCUGAGAGGGUGAUCGGCCACACUGGAACUGAGACACGGUCCAGACUCCUACGGGAGGCAGCAGUAGGGAAUCUUCCGCAAAGGGCGAAAGCCUGACGGAGCAACGCCGCGUGAGUGAUGAAGGUCUUCGGAUCGUAAAACUCUGUUAAUAGGGAAGAACAAAUGUGUAAGUAACUAUGCACGUCUUGACGGUACCUAAUCAGAAAGCCACGGCUAACUACGUG